GCCUCGGUGGUGAAAUGGUAUACACAGAAGACUUAAAAUCUUCCGUCGCAAGGCAUGCCGGUUCGAGUCCGGCCCGAGGCACCA
rnacentral:tRNA from 1 species